GCAAAUUUCAGCGCCAUAUUGCGAUCUGAAUGGAAGACCUUGUCCAGCAACAGCCAGCAAUAUGUCGGCCGUGAAGUUUGGACUCGUCCUAAUCCUCGCACUCGCAGUCAUGGUGGAGAAUAUCUCAAGUGUGAGUCAGACUCCCCUCCGUCUCUAUUGUGAAGGUCGACGCUGCACGAAACCAGGGGACAAGAUGUGCGGAGUAAUGUGCGAUUGCAUUGGAAUUUUUUGCCUGGGAAGACGACGUGUAUUAACCAGGUGACGGGUAACUCGAAAAUACACCGUAUGAUUGCAUGUCCAUGCGCUUACAAAACUGACCAAAUUAAAAUUUACAAGCUCCAGUCAGAAAAAAGUUCGUGUCAAUUUACACAGCUCAAUGGUCGCCAUGGCGUUGAAUGAGUACAUGGAAUCGUACGGGUUUCUUGGCAAAUAGAGGCAACGGGUAUUGGUGCCUUCGUGCUAUAGGGAAUGUUGAAGCACGUGUAAUUAGAGCCGAUAGCUAGUGAUGCUAUGGCCUGUUUUUGCUGAAAAAAUAAGAAAAAUAAAGUU